CAUGUUUAACUGAUAUAUUGACGAUUUCAGAAUAGUUCGUCCCUACAUCGUUGUUCUUGAAACUAUCUUUACUAGUAUACAUGUAAGUUUCCUGACGUAUAAGCGCCAUUGAGGAUAAGCUCAUGAGAUAGCAGACUAGUAUAGUGUUUCGUUAGUUUGUUUGUUGGGAAAGAAGAGGACAUGCAACCACUUGUACAGAUAAACAGCAGUAUCACCAUACAAGCUUUUAUAGUCAACACUAUAAGAAAGAGUUCCCGUCGUCGGACGGAAAAUAUGAAGGCUUCCAAGAAUGAACAAGCGACAUGUCUUACUCUGAACAGUUAGUAAACGGACUUUAAUACAAUGAUCUAUAGACAUCGACCGUUUGUUCUUGAUAUUUGAAACUGCAUGCAUG
rnacentral:lncRNA from 1 species